AUUUCUUCGUUAAAAAAAAAAACCAAACCACAUCCGCCCUCUGGAUAACAGGGAGCCUAGUUUCCAUUGACGGAGUCUGCUUUCGGGGUCAAUUUGGAGCUCGAUUAGCGUCGGUGUCGUCGGCCAAAGCCCGGCGCACAACGUGAAAUCGGAGUGUAUUGUGCCAUGCCCAUGGCCGGCAAAUUGAAGCCCUAAAACGCUCUCGCCGAGGAGGGAAAUCAAAACCAUUCGCCAUGAGAGCCCUGAGGCCUCUCUCGCUACUACGAGCGAUUCGUUCUGCCAGCGUCGGAGGAUGGCUUUCGGGUGGCCCCACUCCUCCCUACUCUCUUCUCCAGAAUGGAGAAAGAGAAAUUUUUCCUUGGAGAAAGGUCCGUUGCCUAUCAUCAACUGCUCCAAUCUUCAAAGACACUUCAGACCCAGGAACAUUGGUGCAUGUCACCCAACCUUUAAAUAAGAGAGUUGAGACGUUGUUGGAAUAUGAAAGAGACCAGCCUCUUGAUGAUGGAAAAGUUAUUGAGAAAGACACAACCCUUAAUCUUGCUCUCUCUCAGCUUGCAGCUGAUUUUGAUAGCGAAUCUAAUUUAUCUUUGAGCCGGUUUUUCUGUACAAGAUAUACACCUGUGAUCUCCACAGGCUCUCUGAAGCUUGAUCUGGCUCUUGGGAUUGGAGGAUUGCCAAAGGGGAGAAUAGUUGAAAUUUAUGGGAGAGAGGCAUCUGGAAAAACAACACUUGCACUACAUAUUGUGAAGGAAGCUCAAAAGCUUGGAGGAUAUUGUGCUUAUCUUGAUGCAGAGAAUGCUUUGGAUCCAUCUCUUGCAGAAGCAAUGGGUGUAAACACAGAAAAUCUACUUAUUGCACGUCCUGGUUGUGCUGAAAAUUCCUUGAGUAUAGUGAAUACUUUAGUUAACAGUGGAUCAGUUGAUGUUAUUGUUGUGGAUAGUGUGGCGGCACUUGUUCCCCAAUGUGAACUUGAUGGCUUGAUAGACAUCAAUUCCCAAGAAGUACAAUCACGUUUGAUGACCCAAGCACUUCGAAAAAUUCAGUACUCGCUAAGCCGAUCCCGAACACUUGUUAUAUUUGUUAACCAGGUUAGAACAAAUUUAACAUCAAAUCGUGGCUUUGGGGAGAUAAAUGAGGUAACUUGUGGUGGAAAUGCCUUAAGAUUCUAUGCAGCAAUACGAAUGAGAAUUACAAGACGCGGCUUGCUCCACGGUGAAGAUAAGGUCACUGGCAUUGGCAUAUUAGUGCAAGUCAUGAAAAAUAAGAUGGCACCUGCAAUGAAGAAAGCUAGUCUGGAUAUAGGAUUUGGCAGGGGCAUUUGUCAUGAAGCUGAGGUCUUAGAGAUGGCUUCUGAGCGUGGAAUUGUUUCGAGAGAAGGAAAGGGAUACUUGAUAAAAGGAGAGUUUCUCAAAGACCAGCAAGAAGCUGAACAAUUUCUUGAGAAAAAUAAUACUGUAGCAGAUGAGCUUGUUCAUGCGUUGAGAAACCAAUUGUUUCAAAUAGCUGUGUGAAUUUCCUGGUGCAUAAUCUGAGAUCAGGAGCUGAUGAUUUUAUAUUUCUAUAUGGUGGAAACAGUGAAGUUUCUCUUGAACAAAAUGACAUUUCAAUAUCUUGAUAAAAAAUUGAAGAUAAAACUGUUAAAUGGUUACAAGGUUUAAUCAGAAGGUAGCAUGGAUAUUCUCAAGCAGCAAUAACCUAUAUCAAGUGACAGUUGCUAUGAAGCCGGCAUUUAGAAAGUUUGAGAUUGUUAAGCAUCAAGUCAUUGUGAGAGCUAGACAUGUGAAAAUUUAAUAUGCUGCCAUGUUUCAGGUGUUGACAUGUAGCCAGGAAUUGAUUAAUGAGGCUGUGCCCUUAUGUGCUGCAACAUUUCCUGUUCAUCUGAACUGUGCACCACCUUCCAAUUCAAGGGCAAGCCUUCCUUUUGUUUCUUUUAUUUAUAUUUUUCGUUUAAUAGGCCCCAAGAAUUUUCAAUUGUGAAGCAUCCUCUUGUCAGGCAUCUUAAAGAAAAGGUUAUGCCUGGAAUUUUCCCAAGAUUUCUGGAUUGGCCUACCUUUGUGUUGCAGACAGGGACCCUGUUUGCCUCUACAUGGAUGGCACUUAAAAUUUUCGUUCUUUCCUCAGAUAUCAGUUAAUAGGUUGUGGAACAACAGGACAUUCUGCAAAACAAAGACUUGUUCCAUACAGUCAGCAGUUCUAUCUAUCAUACUUUGAUUUACUGUUGAUUUCAAACCGGAGAUGGUCUUAUUUGUGCUCUGAAAAUGCCUGUAUGGCCUUCAAAGACUGUUAAAAUGACCAAUUCCUGGAAGUAGGCGUUGAGAGCAAAGAAAUUGUUUAUCAUGUCGAUCUAGCACUAGUGCUUUUGGUGUUCAGAAUAUACGUUGGGAAGGCUGGCCAGAGAUUUCUUACAAAAAGUUCCAAGACCUAUCACUCUGUAGUGAGGAAAACGUUGAUUCCAUGUGUUAUUACCUAUAUUUCUGAUGCUCUGAACCCUUGAGGCAACUUACUCCUCAUGUCGCAUCAAGAUACGUGACUCAGAAGACAAAAACUAGCAAAACGAAAUGAUUUGAGACGUGAGAUGACACAUUUUUGCUUCCUAUAUCAUGUGGUUGAAGGAAGCUGGAACAUGGGCAAUUUAUCCAAAUGGAAUGCUACACUUUAUGGGUUCCACAAAGAUGCGUGGCCUGCUAUUAUGUUUGUCAGCAAGCAUCCUGUUUCUAACUUUACCAAUCAGCAUUUUUUUUCUUUUUAUUGUUCUGUUCAAGUUCGGCACAAUUCAUGGGCAUGAAUUAGCGCGUAUUGGUGGUCAGCCAGGCUUCACACACCUGCUGCUUAGACCAUUUGGUA